UAAGAAAACUUUUCAACACAGCGGUACCAUCAUACAUCACUGCCUAUUUUGACUUCCACGUCGCACUUCGUCCUGUCAGGGGUGAGGUGACACCUCUGGACAUCCCAACCUUCGCUACAGAGACGCUGAGGAACUCAUUCCACAUAAGCGCUUCAUACCUAUGGAAUACACUACCUUCACAGCCCCGCGACAAUAGAUCCAUUACACACUUCAAGAAACAAGCCAGACACUACUUUUUCACCCUUGAAAACACAUAGCUUGUUUUAUCUCCACAGUCAUCUCAGUCUCACCUCACUCAGCAUCAUAAUUUAUUACUUUACCACGUAUUUAUUUUUUAUAAAAUUUUGUAACACAUUGUUCAGCAAUAAAUAAAUAAAAUCUAAAUCUAAAUAAAUCUAAAUCUCUCUCGUUCAGCAUCCCACGAGGUUCCCUUUCGACGAAUCCACCACGCGAUGCGCAACAGCGACCAACUUUUCCGCUUUCCGAUAAUGGGCCGCGGGUCCGCAAAAUCAACAUCCUCUCCCCCUCUGUCUCUCCAUGAAAAAUGCAGUGCUUGCAGGUCGAUGAAGGGGCGAAACUUUUUUUCAAGGAAGUU